AUCUGCCUAGUAGUGGGGGAUAGCUCGGGGAAACUCGAAUUAAUACCGCAUACGACCUACGGGUGAAAGGGGGCGCAAGCUCUUGCUAUUAGAUGAGCCUAAAUCAGAUUAGCUAGUUGGUGGGGUAAAGGCCCACCAAGGCGACGAUCUGUAACUGGUCUGAGAGGAUGAUCAGUCACACCGGAACUGAGACACGGUCCGGACUCCUACGGGAGGCAGCAGUGGGGAAUAUUGGACAAUGGGGGCAACCCUGAUCCAGCCAUGCCGCGUGUGUGAAGAAGGCCUUUUGGUUGUAAAGCACUUUAAGCAGGGAGGAGAGGCUAAUGGUUAAUACCCAUUAGAUUAGACGUUACCUGCAGAAUAAGCACCGGCUAACUCUGUGCCAGCAGCCGCGGUAAUACAGAGGGUGCGAGCGUUAAUCGGAAUUACUGGGCGUAAAGCGAGUGUAGGUGGCUCAUUAAGUCACAUGUGAAAUCCCCGGGCUUAACCUGGGAACUGCAUGUGAUACUGGUGGUGCUAGAAUAUGUGAGAGGGAAGUAGAAUUCCAGGUGUAGCGGUGAAAUGCGUAGAGAUCUGGAGGAAUACCGAUGGCGAAGGCAGCUUCCUGGCAUAAUAUUGACACUGAGAUUCGAAAGCGUGGGUAGCAAACAGGAUUAGAUACCCUGGUAGUCCACGCCGUAAACGAUGUCUAC
rnacentral:rRNA from 1 species